rnacentral:rRNA from 1 species
CAGCCGCCGCGGUAAUACGAAGGGUGCAAGCGUUACUCGGAAUUACAGGGCGUAAAGCGUGCGUAGGUGGUGGUUUAAGUCCGUUGUGAAAGCCCUGGGCUCAACCUGGGAAUUGCAGUGGAUACUGGGUCACUAGAGUGUGGUAGAGGAUAGUGGAAUUUCCGGUGUAGCAGUGAAAUGCGUAGAGAUCGGAAGGAACAUCUGUGGCGAAGGCGACUAUCUGGGCCAACACUGACACUGAGGCACGAAAGCGUGGGGAGCAAACAGGAUUAGAUACCCCGGUAGUCCCUGUCUCUUAUAC